GGCGGGGUAGCUCAGCCUGGUUAGAGCGCCAGACUCAUAAUCUGGAGGUCGUGUGUUCAAAUCUCGCCCCCGCCA
rnacentral:tRNA from 1 species